GGAUAACAGGCUGAUACCGCCCAAGAGUUCAUAUCGACGGCGGUGUUUGGCACCUCGAUGUCGGCUCAUCACAUCCUGGGGCUGAAGUAGGUCCCAAGGGUAUGGCUGUUCGCCAUUUAAAGUGGUACGCGAGCUGGGUUUAGAACGUCGUGAGACAGUUCGGUCCCUAUCUGUCGUGGGCGAAGGAAGAUUGAGGGGGGCUGCUCCUAGUACGAGAGGACCGGAGUG
rnacentral:rRNA from 1 species